rnacentral:rRNA from 1 species
CACGUAGGGUGCGAGCGUUGUCCGGAAUUAUUGGGCGUAAAGAGCUCGUAGGCGGUGUGUCGCGUCGGCCGUGAAAACUUGGGGCUUAACUCUGAGCGUGCGGUCGAUACGGGCAUCACUUGAGUUCGGCAGGGGAGACUGGAAUUCCUGGUGUAGCGGUGAAAUGCGCAGAUAUCAGGAGGAACACCGGUGGCGAAGGCGGGACUCUGGGCCGAUACUGACGCUGAGGAGCGAAAGCGUGGGGAGCAAACAGG